UUGCAACACGGUCUUUUAUAAUUACCAAAUUGUAGAGCAGAGUUAAGGCCUAGUUGACGCUUAUGUGAUGAUUCCUUACCUGACUUAAGAAAUGAGUUUUUGCAAUGUUGCCCGAGUACGUUUAAAACUUUCACUGGCUAGACAUAAUGGUAGAGUGAUGAUAAAGAUCCUACUGUGAUUGUAAUACAACGUUCUCUGCAUUUGUUGAAAUGUAGAGCAGAGUUAAGGCUUAGUUGGCACUUGUUUGAUGGUUCCUACCUGACUUCAGUCUUCAGCCUGCAAAGAGUCUUGUGACCUGUGAUCGCCAUCCACAGCCCAACUGCUAAACCAUGGCAUGGCAUGGCAUGGAACUCUUUUCCUCCACAAUCCCUAGUCAUGAGAGGAAAUUCGUAUUAACAAUAAAGGGAAAAAAAUCUCUUAAAAGCAAUUCAAACAGCUUACAGUGAACAAAGUACUGCCAAAGAACCCACCUAUCAACUGCCCCCUCAUCCAUCUGUGGCGAGAUACGACUCGAGCAUUUCCACGGCCGCCGCCGCGUCCGUCGACCGGAUCUUCUCAGCCAAG
rnacentral:lncRNA from 1 species